AUUGAACGCUGGCGGCAUGCCUUACACAUACAAGUCGAACGGUAACAGGUUAAGCUGACGAGUGGCGAACGGGUGAGUAAUGUAUCGGAGCGUGCCCAGUCGUGGGGGAUAACUGCUCGAAAGAGCAGCUAAUACCGCAUACGACCUGAGGGUGAAAGCGGGGGAUCGCAAGACCUCGCGCGAUUGGAGCGGCCGAUGUCAGAUUAGGUAGUUGGUGAGGUAAAGGCUCACCAAGCCGACGAUCUGUAGCUGGUCUGAGAGGACGACCAGCCACACUGGGACUACGACACGGCCCAGACGCCUACGGGAGGCAGCAGUGGGGAAUUUUGGACAAUGGGCGCAAGCCUGAUCCAGCCAUGCCGCGUGCGGGAAGAAGGCCUUCGGGUUGUAAACCGCUUUUGUCAGGGAAGAAAAGGUUCUGGCUAAUACCUGGGACUCAUGACGGUACCUGAAGAAUAAGCACCGGCUAACUACGUGCCAGCCGCCGCCGUAAGAC
rnacentral:rRNA from 1 species